UCAUAUCACAUUGAAACACUGGUUCCUGUAUGAUCACUGAAGUUAAGCAACGUCGAGCCUGGUCAGUACCUAGAUGGGUAACCACUUUGGAAUACCACGUGCUGUAAG